GACGAACGCUGGCGGCGUGCUUAACACAUGCAAGUCGAACGGAAAGGCCCCUUUUUUGGUACUCGAGUGGCUAACGGGUGAGUAACACGUGCGUAACCUGCCCUUCACUUCCUUAUAACUUCAGUAAACUGGGUCUAAUACCUGAUAGGAAUCCUUUCUUCAUGGUGGGUGUUGGAAAGCUUCGGCGGUUUUGUAUGUACUCGCUGCUUAUCAGCUUGUUUGUGGGUUAGUGGCUUACCAAGGCUUUGACGGGUAGCCGGCCUGAGAGGGCGACCGGCCAAAUUGGGAAUGAGAAAAGGCCCAGAAUCCUAAGGGAGGCAGAAGGGGGGAAAAAUGGAAAAUGGGCGGAAGCCUGAUGCAGCAAAGCCGGGUGCGGGAUGACGGGCUUAGGGUUGUAAAACGCAUUCAGCAGGGGAGAAGCUUGUAGUGACGGUAACUGGAGAAGAAGCACCGGCUAACUACGUG
rnacentral:rRNA from 1 species